GUUAACACACAGUAGUCCAGUGCGAACUUUUGCAGCGCAUAAGUACGCCACACAUUACAUCCUUUUACAUGUGUACCCAUUGACUGUGUGUGAACCUAAUUCUGCACGUUUUAUAGCAACUGGCUGCAGAUGAACAUUUUGAUGUAAACGAGGUUGAUUGACACGCCCCCGUCCAAUUGGGUCGGUGUUGUGUCUCACUUCCCGGUUUUAAGCCAAUCACCAUGGUGCAUCAACAAGCCCGGGCCGGGCCAAGUGCGGUUGAGUCGAGACUUUCGGAUGUACGUACUGUACAAAAACGCAAUUACAGUCCGAGUAGACCGGAAGUGUGAAGAUUUGUCCUUCAAAAUACAAUAUAUUUUAUUUUUUUAUUUUAUCUUCCUUUUUUAUAUUAGGAAGUAUUUUUUGUUUAUUAUAUCAGGUGUUUUGCAUUUGACUCGCACGUGAUGCUUUAGCUUUUAC